AAAUAGUUGACCAAGUGUGGUGGCUCACGUAGUCCCAGCACUUUGGGAGGCUGAGGCAGGAGGAUCACUUGAGCCCAGGAAUUUGAGACCAGCUUGGGCAACAUAGUGAGACCUCAUCUCUUAAAAAAAAAAAUUAGCUGGGUGUGGUAGUGCACACCUGUGGUCCCAGCUACUUUAGAGGCUGAGGUAGAGGAUUGCUUGAGCCUGGGAAGUUGGGGCUGUAGUGAGCUUUGAUUGCAUCACUGCACUCCAGCCUGGGUGACAGAGCAAGACCCUGUCUCUAAAAAAUUAAAUAAAUAAUAAAAAAAUUAAAAAGUAACUCCC
rnacentral:lncRNA from 1 species